rnacentral:rRNA from 1 species
UACGUAGGGUGCGAGCGUUAAUCGGAAUUACUGGGCGUAAAGCGUGCGCAGGCGGCGCGUUAAGUCAGGGGUGAAAGCCCCGAGCUUAACUUGGGAAUUGCGCUUGUGACUGGCGUGCUGGAGUGUGGCAGAGGGAGGUGGAAUUCCACGUGUAGCAGUGAAAUGCGUAGAGAUGUGGAGGAACACCGAUGGCGAAGGCAGCCUCCUGGGCCAGCACUGACGCUCAUGCACGAAAGCGUGGGGAGCAAACAGG